GCGCGGGUGGCGAAAUUGGUAGACGCACCAGGUUUAGGUCCUGACGCUCGCAAGAGCGUGCCGGUUCGAGUCCGGCCCCGCGCACCA
rnacentral:tRNA from 2 species